rnacentral:lncRNA from 1 species
CUCAAACAUGUGGAUGAAAGGGAGAGAAGCAUCAAUCUCUACUCACAGUCGGGCAUAUUUCAGCCUGGUGCACCUGUAGGUUUGUUCAUCACAAGAGAGAGGUCAACCUACCAUUCUAGUAGCAAUACUCAAACCUUUCUUUGACUAGAGAGGAAAAUAAAGCCCAUGGAGAUGAAUCCAGACUGACAACUUAGAGAUUUUGUUUUUGUCAAACUGAAAGCUGCCAAUGCUGCAGGACAAUAGUUUUGCCCCCAAACAUUCAUGGCCCUUUAUCUAACACAACCUACAUCUCUGCUUCUGUCUUGAAUGGAAAAAUCAUGUUGCCAUUUGAUGUGGUCAUCAGUGUUCCAGGUCGCAAUGCUUCCAAACUCUAGAGGCUAUGGUGUUGAAGGAAUGAUAUGGCAUCUUAAAACAUGGGAAGAAGCCAAUCAUGCACCUGUUCUACUGCUUAGCAGUGUCCAUCAAGAUUUCCUGUGAUAUUUGGAGCUUGU